GAUGAACGCUGGCGGCGUGCCUAAUACAUGCAAGUCGAGCGAACAGACGAGGAGCUUGCUCCUCUGACGUUAGCGGCGGACGGGUGAGUAACACGUGGAUAACCUACCUAUAAGACUGGGAUAACUUCGGGAAACCGGAGCUAAUACCGGAUAAUAUAUUGAACCGCAUGGUUCAAUAGUGAAAGACGGUUUUGCUGUCACUUAUAGAUGGAUCCGCGCCGCAUUAGCUAGUUGGUAAGGUAACGGCUUACCAAGGCGACGAUGCGUAGCCGACCUGAGAGGGUGAUCGGCCACACUAGAACUGAGACACGGUCCAGACUCCUACGGGAGGCAGCAGUAGGGAAUCUUCCGCAAUGGGCGAAAGCCUGACGGAGCAACGCCGCGUGAGUGAUGAAGGUCCUCGGAUCGUAAAACUCUGUUAUUAGGGAAGAACAAAUGUGUAAGUAACUAUGCACGUCUUGACGGUACCUAAUCAGAAAGCCACGGCUAACUACGUG
rnacentral:rRNA from 1 species